AUGUGUUCCAGAACAGCAGCUCUCACCAGAUGGCAUGAUGAAGGGCAUACAAAAGAUGGUUUGGUCAAGCAUCCAGCUGAUUCUGCUCAAUGGAAGUAUUUUGAUGAGUUGCAUGAGGACUUUGCUAAGGACAGUCGCCAUUUUAGGCUUGGAUAUGGAUCAGAUGGUUUUAAUCCUUUCAGAUCUAAUAAUGUUAAUUAUAGUGUUUGGCCUGUUAUCUUGAUUCCUUAUAACUUCCCUCCUUGGAUGUGCAUGAAGCAAUCAAAUUUUUUUUCUCACAUUGUUGAUUCCUGGUAA
rnacentral:rRNA from 1 species